UCGAGAAUCAUUCGCAAUGGGCGCAAGCCUGACGAUGCGACGCCGUGUGAACGAAGAAGGCCUUCGGGUUGUAAAGUUCUUUCGCUGGGGAACAAGAGAGAGUACCUAAUAAGUACUUAAUUUGAGGGUACCCGGUAAAGAAGCACCGGCUAACUCCGUGCCAGCAGCUGCGGUAAUACGGAGGGUGCAAGCAUUAAUCGGAAUAAUUGGGCGUAAAGGACGCGUAGGCGGGAAUUUAAGUCAGAUGUGAAAUCCCAGAGCUUAACUCUGGAACUGCAUUUGAAACUGGAUUUCUUGAGGGUAGAUGGAGAAAGUAGAAUUCCACAAGUAGCGGUGAAAUGCGUAGAUAUGUGGAAGAAUACCGGUGGCGAAGGCGACUUUCUAAUUUACACCUGACGCUGAGGCGUGAAAGCAAGGGGAGCAAACAGGAUUAGAUACCCCGGUAGUCC
rnacentral:rRNA from 1 species